UGGGGAAUUUUGGACAAUGGGCGCAAGCCUGAUCCAGCCAUGCCGCGUGCAGGAUGAAGGCCUUCGGGUUGUAAACUGCUUUUGUACGGAACGAAAAGACUCCUUCUAAUAAAGGGGGUCCAUGACGGUACCGUAAGAAUAAGCACCGGCUAACUACGUGCCAGCAGCCGCGGUAAUACGUAGGGUGCGAGCGUUAAUCGGAAUUACUGGGCGUAAAGCGUGCGCAGGCGGUUAUAUAAGACAGGUGUGAAAUCCCCGGGCUCAACCUGGGAACUGCAUUUGUGACUGUAUAGCUAGAGUACGGCAGAGGGGGAGGGAAUUCCGCGUGUAGCAGUGAAAUGCGUAGAUAUGCGGAGGAACACCGAUGGCGAAGGCAAUCCCCUGGGCCUGUACUGACGCUCAUGCACGAAAGCGUGGGGAGCAAACA
rnacentral:rRNA from 1 species